rnacentral:lncRNA from 10 species
AAAUAUAGUUUUAAAAGUAAAUACUGCUACUAUCUUAACAAUAAUUUAAAAAAUCUCAAAAUAACAUGCAACUGUUUGAUUUUUCAGUUUUAGGCAUUAGUUCCCCUUAUAAAUGAUGAGAGUUUAGAGCUUAGACCGCUUGUCCUGUUACCAACACCACCACACAUGCCAGCAUUUCCCAUCACUCCUCUUUCCAUUGUCAUCAUACUGUAAUCCUGGUUAGACCAGUAUUCAGUGUUUCCAUUAUGACUACGUAAAUUCUAAUCACAGCUGAACCAGCAGUAUGAUAUUUAGUUUUCCCUCCUUUCAUAACUUUUCCCAUUCCUGCUGAGUUAAUACUUUUUUGGCUUGUCUUACUCUGCUCAGUUUUCAUUUUGUAAACUUUUAAACAUUUGAACUCUAGCAAAUAUACUGAGAAGUGCCCCAAACGUAAAUGGAGAGUUUAACAAAUAAUUAUAGAGCAAAUACAACAUUUAGGUACCACCCCAAUAAACACAACACCGAGGACCCCCAGAAGCACCCUGUGUAUAGUGGAAUGUUGUGUUGUUUCUGGCCAUGGAGUCUCAAAGACUGAUUCUCAAUUUUUGUUGCUUGAAAACAAGUAAACAAGUAUUCUCAGCCGGGCACGGUGGCUCACCCUGUUAAAUCUUUUUUUCAAUUAAUAACAAC